rnacentral:rRNA from 1 species
CCUACGGGAGACAGCAGUGAGGAAUAUUGGUCAAUGGACGAGAGUCUGAACCAGCCAAGUAGCGUGAAGGAUGACUGCCCUAUGGGUUGUAAACUUCUUUUAUAUGGGAAUAAAAUGUUCCACGUGUGCGUUUUUGUAUGUACUAUAUGAAUAAGGAUCGGCUAACUCCGUGCCAGCAGCCGCGGUAAUACGGAGGAUCCGAGCGUUAUCCGGAUUUAUUGGGUUUAAAGGGAGCGUAGGUGGGUUGUUAAGUCAGUUGUGAAAGUUUGCGGCUCAACCGUAAAAUUGCAGUUGAAACUGGCAGUCUUGAGUACAGUAGAGGUAGGCGGAAUUCGUGGUGUAUCGGUGAAAUGCUUAGAUAUCACGAAGAACUCCGAUUGCGAAGGCAGCUUACUAGACUGCAACUGACACUGAUGCUCGAAAGUGUGGGUAUCAAACAGGAUUAGAUACCCGAGUAGUC